GACGAACGCUGGCGGCGUGCUUAACACAUGCAAGUCGAACGGUGAAGCGCCUUCCUUUUUGGUGGGUGUGGAUGAGUGGCGAACGGGUGAGUAACACGUGAGUAACCUGCCCCCUUCUUCUGGAUAACCGCAUGAAAGUGUGGCUAAUACGGGAUAUUCUGGGUCUGUCGCAUGAUGGGUCUGGGAAAGAUAUUGUUUCGGUGGGGGAUGGGCUCGCGGCCUAUCAGCUUGUUGGUGGGGUGAUGGCCUACCAAGGCGGUGACGGGUAGCCGGCCUGAGAGGGUGGACGGUCACACUGGGACUGAGACACGGCCCAGACUCCUACGGGAGGCAGCAGUGGGGAAUAUUGCACAAUGGGCGCAAGCCUGAUGCAGCGACGCCGCGUGAGGUAUGGAGGCCUUCGGGUUGUGAACCUCUUUCGCCAGUGAAGCAGGCCUGCCUCGUUUGUGGGUGGGUUGACGGUAGCUGGAUAAGAAGCGCCGGCUAACUACGUG
rnacentral:rRNA from 1 species